CGGAUGAUAUGCAGAGCUCAAUCUCAGCUUAGUUCCCAAAGCCCUCUGCAAACCUUCCCAGAACUUCGAUGUAAAUCUAGGAUCUCGGUCCGAAACAAUACUAGACGGAAUACCAAGCAAACUUACAAUCUUCUCAUAUACAACUCGGCUAGUCUCUCUAACGGAUAAUCCAUUCUGAUCGGAAUGAAAUGAGCCGAUUUCGUCAAUC
rnacentral:lncRNA from 1 species